UCACUGUGGAGAAGACAAAACAUACAAGAAACACACAUGGGCUGAUGAGACUGGACGUUGGCAUCAUAAGGCUAUUUUAUAAUGCCAUUGAGAUACAAAAGCCACAAAGUAUCUACAGCAGAGGGGAGAUAAACUCUCCAGAUCAUCAAAACCACUCAAUCUUUUCAGCUCACAUGCUCUCUGAGGCAAAGGAGCUAUAUUGAAUUCCUGAAACUUGGUGAGGCAGAAGGAAGAUGAAAAAAACCAAGGGAAUAGGUAUAGAACUUCUUACAGGAGACAAAAGCUUGGACAUCCUAGUGGUCUACUCUGACUCUUCCCAACAAUAAAACCACAUUGAAUGAAAAGAAUUUAGAAUCUGGUUUUAUGCAGUGUCUUUCAUUUAUAAAAUUCUUUAUUAAAUCAGGUUAGCCAGUAAUUGUGCAAUGUCUGUGCAGACACAAAUGGAAAAACCACUGUGUGCUCAACAAAAGCUCACAGUCCCUUGGAAGUUGUGACUUAGGCAAACGUUGGUAUCGGGAGUGUGACCUGCACUACAGGUAACCACUGGGUGAGCCCCAUGACUCUGGAAGACAGUCACUUCCCAGCCCAGAGGAGAAGGAAGUGAGAUGGGAGUCAGGCUCAAAGAGGUCCUGGUGCGGAAAAGCAAGGGGUGACAUACUGGCUGUUCUGGAACACUUACCUAACCUGGCAAAGAUGGCAUUGAUCACGCAUUGAAUGAAGACCAAGGACAAAGCAUAUUUGAACUUUUCCUGCUUGGCACCUUCUCCAUAUUUACCUCUAGUUCUGUAGGAACAAAUGAAUUAAACAGGAGAUUGAGAGG